CUAUAUAUCUGUUCAGGUGUAAUUCACCUCUUUCAUAUUAUGUGCACCCACACUUAUUAUAUAUCAUUUUGUUCAGGAGAAACAGGGCUUUCAUGUCACAUCAAAUAUUUUUUGGCCAGUGUUUGUACCUAAGUGGCUACUAGAAAAGACUGGACAUACCACAUUUGUAAUACAUUGGGUUAUCUACUUUUGCAAAUGGUAUGCCAUCAUGGGGUAAUUUUCAUUCUUG